AUGAGUAGCUACAACCCAACAAUUAUUUCAUGGAAUGUUAGAGGUCUAAACGCGCCCGCAAGACGCACGACUGUUAACGAGGUGGUUUCGGCCAACAAGCUAGGCAUUCUCUGUCUGCAGGAAACAAAAAUUGAACAAUGGUCUCUGGAACUGGUCAGAGAGAUUGGUGGAUCGACUCUGGAAGGUUGCGCGGUUCUGCCUAUAGUAGGAUCAAGAGGAGGAGUGGCCAUCUUAUGGGACUAGUCGGCCCUGGAAAUCCAAACCCAUGCUGUUGGCCAAUUUUCACUAACAGCAAAAGUCUCAUCGCGACUCUCAACGGGCUGGUACUGGCUCACCAAUGUAUACGGCCAGGUGGAUGACGCUCUGAAAGAUGAUUUCUUUUAGGAGUUGGUUGUCACUGCUCCUCCGGCUGGUCAACCAUGGCUCAUAUGCGGAGAUUUCAACCUCAUCUAUGAAGCUAGGGACAAAAGCAACAGCAGAAUUAACAGGCAUGUGAUGGGGAAGUUUCGGAAAACAAUCGAUUUUGCUGGCCUUAGGGAAAUCAAAUGCAAGAACAGAAAGUUUACUUGGUCCAAUGAGCAUGUCCGGCCCACAAUGUGCAGUAUCGACAAGUUCUUCUGUAACAUGGAUUGGGAGAUGGAUCAUCAGGAGUAUCUGUUGAUGGCUGCCUCAACCUCCAUCUCACACCAUUGUCCUUUUGUUCUAGCCUGUGCCGCCGCCCCUCCGAGGAAAGCAAAGUUCAGAUAUGAGCAUUUCUGGCCAAAUUCCCAAGGUUUCAAGAAACAGUUCAGAGAGCCUGGCAAAGGCCAGCAAAACCACAGUUGCCCCUACGUGCGUAUCAAGAUCAAAAUGCAGCGUGUGGCAGCGGAUCUCAAGGUGUGGAGCAAGACCCUCUUCAGUGGUGCACGUCUGAAACUGCAUAUUGCUUCGGAGGUGAUUCUUCGGCUGGAUGAGGCCCAAGAAAGAAGACAACUCACCCCUCAGGAAUUCAGUCUUCGCAAGCUGUUAAGUAGAGAAUCCUUGGCUUCGCGGCUAUUGAGCGGGCAAGGAAGCGUCAAGCCUCUCGCAUAA
rnacentral:rRNA from 1 species